rnacentral:rRNA from 1 species
AUUGGGCGUUAAGUUGCAGGGUAUAGACCCGAAACCCGGUGAUCUAGCCAUGGGCAGGUUGAAGGUUGGGUAACACUAACUGGAGGACCGAACCGACUAAUGUUGAAAAAUUAGCGGAUGACCUGUGGCUGGGGGUGAAAGGCCAAUCAAACCGGGAGAUAGCUGGUUCUCCCCGAAAGCUAUUUAGGUAGCGCCUCGUGAAUUCAUCUCCGGGGGUAGAGCACUGUUUCGGCUAGGGGGCCAUCCCGGCUUACCAACCCGAUGCAAACUGCGAAUACCGGAGAAUGUUAUCACGGGAGACACACGGCGGGUGCUAACGUCCGUCGUGAAGAGGGAAACAACCCAGACCGCCAGCUAAGGUCCCAAAGUCAUGGUUAAGUGGGAAACGAUGUGGGAAGGCCCAGACAGCCAGGAUGUUGGCUUAGAAGCAGCCAUCAUUUAAAGAAAGCGUAAUAGCUCACUGGUCGAGUCGGCCUGCGCGGAAGAUGUAACGGGGCUAAACCAUGCACCGAA